rnacentral:rRNA from 1 species
AAUCAACGCUGGCGGCGUGCCUAACACAUGCAAGUCGUACGCGAAAGCCCCGAAAGGGGUCAGUAGCGUGGCAAACGGGUGAGUAACGCGUGGGUGACCUGCCUUCGAGUGGGGGAUAACGUUCCGAAAGGGACGCUAAUACCGCAUGACAUCCUGCCUUUGAAGAGGUGGAGAUCAAAGCCGGGGAUCGCAAGACCUGGCGCUUGAAGAGGGGCCCGCGUCCGAUUAGCUAGUUGGUGGGGUAACGGCUCACCAAGGCUUCGAUCGGUAGCCGGCCUGAGAGGGCGGACGGCCACACUGGGACUGAGACACGGCCCAGACUCCUACGGGAGGCAGCAGUGGGGAAUUGUUCGCAAUGGGCGCAAGCCUGACGACGCAACGCCGCGUGGAGGAUGAAGAUCUUCGGGUCGUAAACUCCUGUCGAGCGGGACGAAUGAACUGCGGGGAAAUACUCCGCGGGAAUGACGGUACCGCUAAAGGAAGCCCCGGCUAACUCCGUGCCAGCAGCCGCGGUAAUACGGGGGGGGCAAGCGUUGUUCGGAAUUACUGGGCGUAAAGGGCUCGUAGGCGGCCAACUAAGUCGGACGUGAAAUCCCUCGGCUUAACCGGGGAACUGCGUCCGAUACUGGAUGGCUUGAAUCCGGGAGAGGGAUGCGGAAUUCCAGGUGUAGCGGUGAAAUGCGUAGAUAUCUGGAGGAACACCGGUGGCGAAGGCGGCAUCCUGGACCGGCAUUGACGCUGAGGAGCGAAAGCCAGGGGAGCAAACGGGAUUAGAUACCCCGGUAGUCCUGGCCCUAAACGAUGAAUGCUUGGUGUGGCGGGUAUCGAUCCCUGCCGUGCCGAAGCUAACGCA